GCUUCGUUAUAAAAUGACAACACGGCGCAAUGCACAAAUUUAGCUCGGCAGCGCUGCCACUGUUAGCGUUAGACUGAUAGAUCAAGCGGGAGCUGUGUUUGAGGUCUGGCAACGAUCGCUCCCCAGCAGCUGAGCACAGCGCAUGGCUGAGAAACAAGAAAAUUUGCGCCCGCAUUUGUCUGCCGCUCAUUCUUUCCUUGUGCUUAAUUUGUGGUUCACGUUGCAGUUGUUAAUCGUAGUUAUCAUGGAUGAUAUUGUCCGUGUGUGUACUGUGACCGAGCCGGAUUGACUUCGAAGGAGGCAACGCAUGGAACGGCCGAUGGGCAGCUUUGUUUACCUUCAAGACCAAGUGCUGCUGAAAGCUUUCUGAAAGCAUCAACAGGACAAAAAGUAAGGGAUGUGGGCCUUGGAAGGACCAGCUGAUGGAAAAAAAUCAACGUCCGUGUUGCACGCAACGCCAUUGUGACUGUCUGCAUCUCCAUUUGGCCUGUUGUGGGAUCCCACAAGACACGCUUUGUUCCUGGGUCAAUUACUGAACUUCUGCAAGCCCCAUGGAAGCCAACUGUCAUCCGCAUCGAAUGGAACAAAUUCAUGGUUCCGGCCUUCAUAAUUCAUCUUGAGCUGAAGUUAGAACUGGAGCUCAAACAGCGUAAAUUCUGUAAGGAUUUACCACUGCAUACCGUCCGGUGGCCACACACGACGGUAUGCUACUGUCUAGAACACUGCUAGUCUACUGUCCAGAACACGGAUGGUGUUUUAUUCUAGAAUAGCUUUGUCAGUAGUACUACUGAUUGUGUUUGUAGGAUCACAGUCCACGCUCUUUUUGCAAUCCUAUCAGAACACAAAAAGACGAGGAUAAUUUUAAUUUAUUGUUUCAGAG